rnacentral:rRNA from 1 species
GACGAACGCUGGCGGCGUGCUUAACACAUGCAAGUCGAGCGGAAAGGCCCUUCGGGGUACUCGAGCGGCGAACGGGUGAGUAACACGUGAGUAAUCUGCCCCUGGCUUCGGGAUAGCCACCGGAAACGGUGAUUAAUACCGAAUAUGACUACUUCCUGCAUGGGAUGGUAGUGGAAAGUUUUUCGGCCAGGGAUGUGCUCGCGGCCUAUCAGCUUGAUGGUGAGGUAAUGGCUCACCAUGGCUUCGACGGGUAGCCGGCCUGAGAGGGUGACCGGUCACACUGGGACUGAGACACGGCCCAGACUCCUACGGGAGGCAGCAGUGGGGAAUAUUGGACAAUGGGCGGAAGCCUGAUCCAGCAACGCCGCGUGAGGGAUGACGGCCUUCGGGUUGUAAACCUCUUUCGGUAGGGACGAAGCGCAAGU